UUUAUUAUAUAAAUCACUAUUUAUUGUUUUUAAAUAUAAAUAUGAAAUCGUUUCGGAACGCCAGUUAUUUAUUUGUUUAGCAUCACAAAGAAGAAGGUUUUAAGUUUCAGCGCCAUACAAUGUUCAGCUACGACACAGCAUUCUACAGCCAGACAACCUUCAACAGCAGGACACAGUAACUCAAGGUAUUAAGGAAAUCCUAAGAAACCAAAAGGUGCUGAUGACAAGGAUGGAUGACAUUGAGAAAACCCUCAAAGAAAAUGUUAUUGAUAAAGGUCUUCUAUUGGCUCAAACACACACGCUGCGCGAAUGUAAGGGACGAUUGGUAGGAGAAAUAGAAAAUCCCAUGAAAAUUGAAAUAGCGUCAAGACUACCAAUCUACACACAUUUUUUUAAUCACUAAUAAACAAAUUAAAAAUA